GCAGUACGGUACGCGUGAGAGAGAGAAGAAGAUCAUCGGGCUAGGGUUUAUUUGAUGUUGCUCUGUUGAACUAUCCGGUGGAGUGUGGACGAUCUUCCGCACAUGGAACAUGUAAAUCACAUCCGCAUUGGAGCUCAAAACAUUCUCACAAUGAGAAAUGUAGGAUUUGCAUCUCAUGCUCGUUCUCAAAGUGCAAUGCCUAUGCUAAUGGAAUCACAUGGAGUCAAUGCACUCAAUGUGAAGGUCAAAAUCCAGUCUGUUGAAAAAGAGGCUUAUGCUGCUGUGUUGAGGGCCUUUAUUGCUCAAUCUGAUGUUCUUUCUUGGGACAAAGAACAGAUUAUCACUGAACUACGUAAAGAGCUCAAUGUAUCAGAUGAUGAACAUAAAGAACUCCUCGCUAGUUUAUGCUCAAAUGAGUCUAUAAAAAUUAUCAGAGAAUGGCAAAAAGGCAAAUUGCAUGCUUCGGCGUUGGUUUCUGGACUAUUGGAUGUUCCUGAGUUUCUUCACAGGUCUACGAACAAUCUUCAUCAUAAUGUUUCAAGGGCUUCUAAUGAUCCUGUUUUAUUGUCACAAAGACAGCCAACUCGUUCUCGACGUAUUAGGACAGCUUACCCUGCUUCUAUCCCUGUAAGACCAAACAACCAAUGGAGUGAAACGUUCAAUGAGAUGCCUUCAAAUCCUGUGAACACUAUGAUUCUUCCCGUUGAAUUACCAUCUUCAAGUAAACAGAGAGAAGCCUCAAAGUGUCCAUCUAGGUUCUUUAAGGAGUCCUUUAAGGUUGGCCAUGCUAAUGACUCAAUGAAGAAAUCAAACGUAAUUACUAUACGUCUGACUGAUGUGGUCAUAAAUGAGGUUACUCACAUGGUUUAUGGAAGAGAAAACCCUGACAGUAUUGAAAUCAAGAAGGCAAAGUCAAUUCUUCGGGUACUUUUUCAUUUCAUUUCAUUUUAACGACCUUUCGCUUAAAAAACAGUUUAUAGAAUUAUUAUACUCUAGGAUUCUCUGCAAAUGUACUUGCCACUGAUGUGUUGACCGAUAAUUUCAAAACAGGAGCAUGAAGAAGGCCUUGUCAAAGCAAUAGAAAAACUCACUGCUGUUUUGGAUGGAGGUGUUAGUCUCCAAAACCAAUUUCCCAUCACCUAGCUCAAGGUCUUGGAAGAAUCAGAGAAAUAAAGACGACCUCAAACAAAUUCAGUAGUCGGUAUGAUCAUUAGAGCAAAAAACUGAAAAAAAUCUCAUAUUCCUAGAUGCAGGAUAUGAAGUUAGACAACAUGUUGCAGCUUUUUGAGCAUGUCAUAGUGGGGUUAUAAAUAGUUUAGGUUAACUCUAGUUCUAACCGACGAUAGGAAUCGUUAGGCUAUAGUAAAUACUGCAGAAUUGUGUUAGUAUCUGGUAACUAUGCAGUAACCAACAUGUUCUCAAUUGGAUGCUGCUAUCUUAGCUGAAAUCAAAGGUAAUGAGUAAUUACAAGCUGCUCAACUUUUGCAAUUUUCUUUAAUGUUCUUUCUCCAUGGCAUCUAUCUAGCUUUAAAUAAUCUCCUUGGUUAGGUUUUAACAUUUUCCAUGGAUGCCAUUCAAAUAUUAUUUGAAUGAAAGUUUAUAAGUGAGUAUUUUUAUGAGAUGGUUUUUAGGAGUUACAUUGAA